UCAAGAAUAAGAUGCAUAGUAGCAGCGACAAUGUGUCUUCUGCACAGAAGUCUGGUACAGAUACAAGAAAACAUUCUGAUAUUCUCAGCAGGGAAGAAGAAUACAAGAGAUUAAAUGCUGAACUUGAAGCUAAGACUGCCUCUCUGGUACAAGAAGCUGAAAUGGUUAUGAAAGAGCAAGAAAAUGUCUUGGCCAAAUCGCAUUUACUUGAUAACAUCAACACAGAAGAGUUUCUUGA